AGUGGGAUAGCUGGGUCAAAAAGUGGUUUCAUUCAAAGUUUUCUAAGAAAUCUCCAUAUUGCUUUCCAGAUUGGUUGCACCAAUUUGUAGUCCCACUAGCAAU
rnacentral:pre_miRNA from 1 species